GAAGAAUACGUUGUCGCUAAUAGCCGCCNACCACUUGACAUUACCCCAUUGAAAUAAGCMUCCGGCUAACUCCCGUGCCCAGCCAGCACCCGCGUUAAUACCGAAGNUGCAGAGCGUUUAUCGGAAUUUCUGGGCUUAAAGCGUGCUCAGGUGGCAAUUCUAAGUCUGAUGUSAAAGCCCGGGGCUUUACCCUGGAAAUGGCAUUGGAAACUGGGUUUCUAGAGUGUGAUAGAGGAUAGAUGGAAUUUCCAGAUGUAGCGGUAGAAAUGCGUAGAUAUUGGAAAGAACACCGAUGGCGAAGGCAGUUUUCUGGGANCAACACUGACGCUGAGUGUACGAAAGCUUGGCGGAGCAAACAUGGAUUAGAUACCCCGGAUAGUCCACGCCGUAAACGAUGUNGCCUUGUUCUANGCGGG
rnacentral:rRNA from 1 species